AAAUGCGAUAAGUAAUGUGAAUUGCAGAAUUCAGUGAAUCAUCGAAUCUUUGAACGCACAUUGCGCCCGCCAGUAUUCUGGCGGGCAUGCCUGUUCGAGCGUCAUUACAACCCUCAGGCCCCCGGGCCUGGCGUUGGGGAUCGGCGGAAGCCCCCUGCGGGCACAACGCCGUCCCCCAAAUACAGUGGCGGUCCCGCCGCAGCUUCCAUUGCGUAGUAGCUAACACCUCGCAACUGGAGAGCGGCGCGGCCACGCCGUAAAACACCCAACUUCUGAAUGUUGACCCCGAAUCAGGUAGGAAUACCCGCUGAACUUAAGC
rnacentral:misc_RNA from 1 species